rnacentral:rRNA from 1 species
AUUGGCGUAUAUUAAAGUUGUUGCGGUUAAAAAGCUCGUAGUUGGAUCUGUGUAUCGGACGGUUGGUUCGCCGCUCGCGGCGUUUAACUGACUGUUUCCGGACGUCCUGCCGGUGGUCUGCGUCCUGCAAGGGUCGUAGGCCGUCACCUCCCUCCGGGCUUCUCUUAACCGGGUGGUCCGGUGGGCCGGCACGUUUACUUUGAACAAAUUUGAGUGCUCAAAGCAGGCCUAUAGACGCCUGAAAACUGUGUGCAUGGAAUAAUGGAAUAGGACCUCUUUUCUAUUUUGUUGGCUUUUCUGAAACAGAGGUAAUGAUUAAUAGGGACAGACGGGGGCAUUCGUAUUGCGACGUUAGAGGUGAAAUUCUUGGAUCGUCGCAAGACGGACGGAUGCGAAAGCGUUUGCCAAGAAUGUUUUCGCUAAUCAAGAACGAAAGUUAGAGGUUCGAAGGCGAUCAGAUACCGCCCUAGUUCUAACCAUAAACGAUGCCAGCCAGCGAUGCGCCGAAGUUCCUCCGAUGACUCGGCGCGCAGCUCCCGGGAAACCAAAGCUUUUGGGUUCC